rnacentral:misc_RNA from 2 species
CCCAACUAUCCCUAUUAAUCAUUACGUCAAUCCUAGAAACCAACAAAAUAGGGUCAAACGUCCUAUUUCAUUAUUCCAUGCUAAUGUAUUCAAGCUAAUGCCUGCUUUAAACACUCUAAUUUUUUCAAAGUAACAGUCCUAACUCCCCAUGACACCAAAUAAAUGAAAUCAUGGUUCGUCAGAAGGGAGAAAUCAAUGAUACCAGUACGUACCAGAGGCACGACCGAUAUAUUGAUCCCGAAAUUCAACUACGAGCUUUUUAACUGCAACAACUUUAAUAUACGCUAUUGGAGCUGGAAUUACCGCGGCUGCUGGCACCAGACUUGCCCUCCAA